UAGCUCAGCAGGUAGAGCACAACACUUUUAAUGUUGGGGUCCUGGGUUCGAGCCCCAG
rnacentral:tRNA from 2 species